rnacentral:miRNA from 1 species
GUCACUGAUGUCUGUAGCUGAG